rnacentral:rRNA from 1 species
UACGAAGGGGGCUAGCGUUGCUCGGAAUCACUGGGCGUAAAGGGUGCGUAGGCGGGUUUUUAAGUCAGGGGUGAAAUUCUGGAGCUCAACUCCAGAACUGCCUUUGAUACUGAAGAUCUUGAGUCCGGGAGAGGUGAGUGGAACUGCGAGUGUAGAGGUGAAAUUCGUAGAUAUUCGCAAGAACACCAGUGGCGAAGGCGGCUCACUGGCCCAUUACUGACGCUGAGGCACGAAAGCGUGGGGAGCAAACAGG